UAAUUUCUAGGCCUAUACCCCUAACCUAAUUCAUACCCCCUAUAAAAUAACACUAACACCCUAGACUCUACACACAACCCAAUCUGCCACUUCUCUGAAAAGAUGGAAGAAAAGAAAAAAACAAAAAAUAAAACACCUAUCUUCACACAAAUGACAAUCAGCCAAAAAAAUGAAACAAAAAAGAACGAAAACCUAAGGAAAAGUUGAAGGGGCAGCCCCGUUUUCUUAAAAACUUUUUCCAUCUGCAAUUCCAAACAAAGAGAAGCCUUCCGCCGUUUUUUUCAACCCAAACACAAUAGACCCACCAUUUUCCAAAAGCUUCAGCCGAUUCCAAAAUUGUAAAAUCUCAAAGCUUUAUUCUCCCAAUUUACGGAAGCCCACGCACACAAAUAUAACAAAAACAAAGAUAAGAAAAGCAGGUAGCGAAAUAGAAACGGAAAAUACAAAGAGGAGAUGAAUUGACAGUGAAAGACAACACUUUGGAACAGAGGAAUCCAUUGAUUUUCUCGUUAUUAAAACCAUUAGAACAAAGGGCUUCCAAGGUCUUUCUUAAAGUGAGAAAUCAAUUCGAGGAUGAGCAACAAAAAAAUACGAUUUGGUUGAGAGAUCCGAUUUUUGAAAAUCUGGUAGUCGAGUUCCUAUUCGAGGCCGUAGGUUCGUUGGUUCUAUUGAUUGUUCGCGGUUUCUGUCGCCGAUUUGGAGUAUUUUCAGUUGAGUUAGCGGCAUCAGAUUCAUUUGUGACUAUUGGAUUUUCUCUUGUUUAAUAAAAAAGUCUCACACCAGAGGUUCCACUCUUAUCCUUCUCUUAUUUCAAGUUUAAAUCCAUGUGUUGUUAUGUGAUAUUAAACAUGAUAUUAACCCAUUGUCUUCUAAUUCUUCUGGGUUCAAAUUCUUGAUGAAGUCAGUAGAAAUUUGGAGUAUUAUACAAAGUUAUAAAAAUCUGUUUUCCUUAUGAGUUUUAAUUUAUAAGAAAUUUCAAAGAUUUGCUCUAGGUGAAGCUUUGGUCAAGGGUAUCUUGAUUUAUUUAGUUCUGACCAUUUUACUCCAUAGUUUUUAUUUUUAUUUUUUGGAUUUCUAUUAAAGGUUAAUUUAGUUCCUAUUAUUUCUAAAAUCAUUUUCUCACUGCCAAAGGGAAUGAUAAGUAGUGUAUUGAAUUUUGUUCGUAUGGAAUUUAAAAUUCACAUAGUUAUUAUGCCUAAUUUCCAAAAUUUGGAGGUACAUUUCCUGUGACCCGAUUAAAACAACUUCGAAUAAUAAAACCUUUUGAAAUAAAUUGAGGCUUGCCAUGCCAAAAAUAAAAUCACUAAGUCCAUGGCCCUCAUAAAACUAGCUAGCUUUUAUAGAAAAUUUGAGGUGUAUCAUUUUCAUUAAAUAACCCAUGGCCCUCAUGUAAUUCAUAAUAACUCUUUUCAAAAUCGACGUGCACCAUCAAUUGAAUUUUUCAUGGCCCUCUCAAACGUUGUUAUUAAUUUGAACCUUCGUAGUUGCUGUAGGCGCGUUCUUUAAAUUGAUUUUCUUUUAAUUACUAAAUUCGGGUGUACAAUUCAUGUGACCCAAUUUCAACUCUUAAUAAUGUUAAAUAGAGCGUGUCACGAACCGCGGGUGCAUUUCAAGUGGUGUGGUUCAAGGCAUGUUUUAAAUAACGUUGAAUCUUCCUAAAAGCGUUUUAAAAUAAUUAAAAGCGGUUAAUAAGCUAAAAAUGAACAAUAGGUUAAAACAUGUAAUAAAUCGGAUAAUAGGCCAAUUUUAAUAGUUUAAGCGACCGUGAUAGAAACACGGAACCUGGAAAUGCCUAACACCUUCUCCCGGGUUAACAAAAUUCCUUAUCUAGAAUUUCUGGCUCGCAAACGUUAAAAAUAAAAGUCGAAUUUCCUCGAUUUGGGAUUUUAAUCUAAACUGGUGACUUAGAACACCAAAUAAACUAUUUCAAGUGGCGAUUCUAAUAAACAAAAUAAUUCCAUUUCGAAUAAUGUCACUUUAAUUGGAAAAACUCUCUUAUAUACCCUUCAGGUGUGUAAAAAGGGAGGCGUGAUAGCUCUGGCGACUCUGCUGGGGAGAAGAACCCAGAAUCUCUGGUUCAGGGUUCAAGAAUUCGAGCUUAGAAUAAUUGUUAUAUUUAGCUUUAUUUAUUAUCUGAUUUUAUUACAUGUUUGAGCCUAAUGUGCUAAAUGUCAUUAUUUUACCGCUUUGAUAUUAUUUGAACUGUAUAUAAACUGUUAUGAAACCCUUCUCUUCUCAUCUUCGGGGAACUGCACGUUGGCAUGACUCCUUUUCUAUUACUGUCAUACCAUAAAUUGGAAAGAGGCUCGGACAAGUUACAAAGCCAGAUGGCUUUUUGGUUCCCGGUACGUAGCCCCCCCCUGCUCGAGUUGUCCACUCGGGUACACAUGUCUAGAACAACAUACUCAGGUAUUGAACUUAGAAUAACUCAGCAUCAUGCCGGAUCCCUAGUAGGAACGCUGGUUUGCAUUAUGUGCAUUUGACUUUGGGGACCCAACAUAGGGUUGGGUCCAUCUAGGACAAGUGUACCCAAAUUAAAAGACCAUCCUGAUGCAUCUUACAUGCUACUUGCGUAUCUGUCUGUUUCGGCUUGCAUGUUGACUGGCUUCUAGAAUAGGGAAAGAAAAUGGAAAAAAAAAGAAAAAAGAAAAAAGAAAAGAGAAUGAGAGGUAGGUAUUUGAAAUAUCAUGAAACUCUGCCGAAAUUUUGAUAAAAAGAAAAGUCAUUUCGAAAUAAGUCAAUUUCUAUUCCGUCAAAAACUGGCGAACUAUGCGGGUCUGAUUCUCACCGGAUGUGAGAUACGUAGGCAAACCUCAUCGGUUCCGGCCCACCAUUUUCAAAAAAUCCAAAAAUAUUUUCCGUUACUUGCUUCUUUAGAAUGUCUUUCUUUUAGACCCCAAUUUCUAAAAAAAUACAAAAAAAAAAUCUUUUAAUUUCUUCUAAAAAUAAAAAAAAAAUCAUUCUUCUUUAGAAAUUUUUCUUUCGAAAAUUGAAAAGAAAAUUCAAGAUUCAAAAAUAUUUUUUUAGAAGUCUUUCUUUCAUAAUUUUAACAUAAAAGUCCAAAAAUUUAAAAAAAAAUCUUUCUUCUUUAGAAGUUUUUCUUUCGAAAUUCCAAAUAUAAAAAUCGAAGUCAAAAAAUAUCUUCUUUCUUUUUUAUAAGUCUUUCUUUCGAAAAUUAAAAAAAAACAAUAAAAUUCAAAAUCCAAUAAAAGAAAAAAAAGAUUCAGUUUAUUUCCUUUAUUCCCGAUCUUCCCGAACUACGCAAGAUCUGAUUCAUGUUUCCAUAUGAUAUGUAGGUAACCCACAUCAGGUUCGAUCACCAUUAAAUAAAUAAAAAACAAAAGUGAAAAAAUGUUGAUAAUAAUAAGGACUGACUGAGUCCAUUCUAACGUGUCUUUGUUUUGAAUUGUGAAGAAAGUUUGAGGUGGUUAGUUUGUGGCAAGCAGACAGCACAAGAUCCAAGGAAAAAUGAUAACUGACAUCGAAGCUAUUACAAGUGCUCAAGAGACUCAGGGUCAGAGGGUUCGACAAGAGUCUACUAUGUGUGAGGAAAAUAGAAUACUGAAAUAGCAAAUGACCAAAAUGUGCCAAGCAUGGGCCAAUGGCAAAGGACAGCCUUGUCAUAAGUCACAAUUUGCUACCCGGCAAGAGCAGUACCACUCUUCUGAGUACCACUCAUAUCUAUUUGAUUUUCCUACAAAGAUUGAGAAGCUUGUCCGAAAGAUGGCACAAGAAGAAAUAACCCAAAGAGUGAAAAGCUUAGAAUGACGGUUGAAAAACAUGCGAGGGUUGGUAGGUCAGAAGAGUAUUGCCUUCAAGGAUCUAUGUAUGUUUCCUGAUGUCCACUUGCCGCCUGGUUUCAAGACUUCCAAAUUUGAAAAGUAUGCUGGAUAUGGAGACCCCAUAGCCCACCUGAAAAGGUAUUGCAAUCAACUAAGAGGUACAGGAAGAAAUGAAGAAUUGCUAAUAGCUUAUUUUGGGGAAAGCCAUAUGGGAGUAGCAUCCGAAUGGUUUUUGGAUCUAGACACAUCUCGCUGGUACAUCUGGGAUGACAUGGCACAAACCUUUGUCAAAUAGUUCCAAUUCAACAUCGACAUCUCCCCAGACUGCAAUUCCCUUUCAAACCUGAAGAAGAAACCAACUGAAAGUUUUAGGGAAUAUGCCAUUAAAUGGAGAGAACAAGCAGCUAGAGUUAAGCCACCCAUGGACGACCAUGAGUUAAUCAUUGUCUUUCUUUAGGCUCAAGAGCCAGAUUAUUUUCAAAACAUGAUGUCCACAAUGGGUAAAUCCUUCUCUGAAGCACUCAAAAUGGGGGAAAUGGUUGAGAAUGGUCUUAAAACAGGCAGAAUUAUAAGUCAAGCAACUCUCAAAGCCGCAACUCAAGCUGUCCGGUUUGAAUCGGAUAAUUUUAGUGACACGAAUGAGAAGGAUGAAGAAAUCAUUAUGACAUCAGGGUCGAGAAGAGGUCCUAGGAGAGCAUCUCGAAGGUAUGACCAGCCUCGUCUAUUUUACGAUGAUGCUUCUGAGACACUACUAUUCACCUCAAAACUCACAAUACUCUGUUGCUCCACUUCAGUAUGUUGUCCAACCACCAAAACACCCUAGAAGGUGAGCACCAGCACCGCAAAAUCUCCACCAGCCUCCACAAAAUUUUCAAGUGCCCUAUAACCCACAUCCAAGCCAGGGGUAUAGAAGAGAAUAAAGGUUGAAAGAUAAUUUUACGCCAAUAGGAGAGUCCUAUGCAAGCUUAUUUGAGAGGUUAAAGCAUUAUGACAUGAUUGCACCCAUUUCUCCAAAUCAUAUGGACCCCCGUGCAAGAAGCUUUGACCCUUCUAAAAGGUGUGAAUACCAUUCUAAUGCCCAGGAGCACAAUAUUGAGAGCUGUCGGGAUUUGAAAAGACAAAUAGAAAGGAUGAUCCAGAAAAAACUGGUUGUGAUCCAAGACAGUGACACCCAGAGUAUCAGGUAGAGUAAUUUACCUGCACAUGAUGAUGCACACUUUGUAGGGAUGAUGCCUGGUGACAUGGAGUAUGAGAAACCUCUCGGGAACUUGCCGACUGAAAUUAGAGAAGGCCAUGGUGAUUUUGAUGAGCAAAUUUGUGGCUAAAUAUCAAGCUUAGCAGUUGAAAAGUCAUUCCUUCAUCACUAGGAAGGAAUCUUGGUAGCUUGUUUUGAUGUUUUUUCUACUAUCUGGGUUAUUUCAAUGUUGUCAUCCAGAUUUAUUUGUUUUAUUGAGUCAAACCUUUCUAUACCGUCAUUCUGUUUGUACGAGUCUUGUCUGUCUGUUCUGUUGCUAUUUUUAUUAUCCGGGUUAUUUUAGGGUUGUAAUUCAAAUUUUAGGUUGUUCGUCUUGUUGUCAAACCCUUUCAUCCUUUACUCAAUAAAAUACAGUUUGUCCUUUUGUGUCAUUCUAUUCUUAGUUCUUUUCUCGCUAGUUCUAAUGACAUGACAUGCAUGCGGAAAUUUUGGCCAUAUCUUAGAAACUAAUUUAAUCUGGAAUUGGAUAGCUGAAAAAAACACUUUCGAGGAUGAAUAAUGAGUUGAAAUACUUUGGAAUUAAGGUCGAGUAAAACUCACCUUCAAAUCAUUAUGAAGAUCGGGCUUGAGGAUGUUUAAUCAAUUGAAGUCUAUUGGAAAGUUUGACAUUAGGGGAUGGAAAGUGUCUUGUGACCACGACACACCAAGAAGACAGACAUGUUCGUCAAUGCUGUGAUCGCGAAAAGAUAACACGAUUGCCAUUUCGAGGCUGGAAGGCCCUUUUUCUGCUAUCCAAAUACUUUAUACCCUUUGUCACCCCUUUGAGCCUGUGUUAUUUUCUUUAACCAUCCUCUUUUAUAAUCAAGUUUAGAGCCGAAAAAAAUAAUACAAAAAAUGAAAAAAAAGGAAAAAGAAAAAGGUUCAUGUACAAAGAGUACAAACUGGGGCAAUUCAUAGAGAGUUCAAAUGAAAACAAAUGAAGAAGAAAAGAACUAUCGAAAGUCCAUGCCCUCAUAAGAUAGAAACUGGGGCAAACAAAAGAAGAAAAAGAAAGAAAAAAAGGAAAAAAAAAAGAAAAGAAAAAAAAAACAGAAAGAAAGAUGAGAAAUAGUUUGGUCAGAUCUUUGAACUACGUUCGACCUAAUUCCUUAAUAAAGGAUACGCAGGCAGCCCUUCGGUUUGGUCCAGCCAAAAACAAUUCAAAAAAAUCCCCAAUAGCUGAAACUGGGGCGGAGAUUUUAUUGCACUUUUGAAAGAGUCGAUUCUAGGAGUUGUAAGUCCACAACCCCCUUUACUUUGAGUCUAUUUUGAGCCUUCAUGACAUCCUUUUUUUCCAAUCCUAUCAAAAAUCCUUCCAAAUAAAGACCUCCCGAUAAGCCUUCAAGAAUGUCAAGAGACGAAUACAAUGAGCAACAAUUGUCACACGACGCAGAACACCGUCGAGUAGUUCACAAAAAAGAGGGAAAGAAAAAGAAAAGAAAAAUGAGAGAGUCUUAUUAGUGAAAACCCCCAAGGACACUGUAAGAUGACGGUAAGCAGAGAUGAAUAAAUGAGAGAGACUUGUUGGUGAAACCCCUCGGGUACUACUUGUCGAAAGUGAGUCGUGAAGCUGAUGGGAAGAAUCGGCAUAAAUAAGCCCGACUACAAAGGUCAUAAGAAUGGUAAAAGGGAAGAUUGAUUUAGUUUGGUAGAUCGGCCAUUAAGUCCAAAAUGCGUGUCAUGAUCAUUAAGGCUAGUUAUUGAAAAAAAAAAAGAAAAAAAAAUAACUCUUCCUUCUAUCCUUCCGACAGAGGCAUUUCUUGUUAAUACUUGUUUCUUUGCAUCAUUGUGUCAUUCACUCUGAGUCAGUCCUGUCAAAACAAGCAAGAAAAGAUUUCAAAAUCCGCUACCAGCUUUUCAGUUGCAUCAAGUAAAUUUUGUCAGCACACUCAGUUUUCACCGUCAACGUGCCUUGAGGAUUCAUGCAAAGGCUUCCCCAAAAGACUCUUGUCAUCCUACUUGGUGCAAGCAAAGAUAACUUGUGAUUCUCUCUGACAGACAAAUUGCUCAAAAGCAGGAAGUCAUUGAAGAUAUCAGAAAAGGUCACCUGAGCAAAGAUCUCCACUCGGGAUAAGGCUGCUUGAGCCACAAAACACCAAUGGCAUUGGGAGUAAAACAAUCAGGAUUGAUACAAGAAGUAAAGGGCCCGUGAAAGCAACAGAGUCUCCCAACAGUGCAGUCAACUACCAAUGUAGUCGGUCUUCGAAAGAGGAUGGGCACAAAGCCAAACUGCUAAAGACUUCAAGGCCACAAACUGACCACCACCUUUUAAAACUGACAAAGUAUUAUUUGUUUGAAACAGAAACAAAGCAGUGCAAGGAAAGUGGUUCAAAAAAAAGAAAAAAAAGGAAAAGAAAAGGAAAACAACCAAAAAAAGAAGGAAAGAAAAGAAGAGAAGAGCCGUCAAAGGGAAGUUUCUCAAAUCUUCACCUUUAUUUGUCUUGUUAUUGUGUAUAAAAUCUUGCCAUUGAUCUUCACAUUUUGCUCCUAAGAUAAAAAAUGGACCUAGUCUAAUGAACUUUCUCCUAGGAUCAAAAUCUUAGUCUGAUGAAUUUUUCUCCUAAGAUAGAAGACCUAGUUUGAUGAACUUUCUCAUUGGAUCGAAACCUUAGUCUGAUGAAUCUUUCUCCUAAGAUAAGAAGCCUUGUCUGAUGAAUUUUCUCCUAGUAUCGAAAUCUUAGUCUGAUGACCCUUUCUCCUAAGAUAACAAAAGAAGGACCUAGUCUGAUGAACUUUCUCCUAGGAUCAAAAUCUUAGUCUGAUGAAUCUUUCUCCUAAGAUAGGAAACCUAGUCUGAUGAACUUUCUCCUACAAUCAAAAUCUUAGUCUAAUGAAUCUUUCUCCUAAGAUAAUAAAUUAGAAAACCUAGUCUGAUGAAUUUUCUCCUAGGAUAAAAUCUUAGUCUGAUGAAUUUUUCUCCUAAAAUAGGAAACCUAGUUUGAUGAAUUUUCUCCUAGGAUCAAAAUCAUAGUUUGAUGAAUCUUUCUCCUAAGAUACCAAAAAAAGUGACUAGUCUGAUUGAACUUUCUCCUACGAUCAAAAUCUUAGUCUGAUGAAUUUUUUCUUCUAAGAUAGAAGACCUAUUCUGAUGAACUUUCUCGUAGGAUAGAAAUCUUAGUCUGAUGAAUCUUUAUCCUAAGAUAAUAAAUUAGAAAACCUAAUCUGAUGAAUUUUCUCCUAGGAUAGAUGUCUUGGUCUGAUGAGUUUUUCUCCUAUGAUAUAAAAACCUAGUCUGACAAAUUUUCUCCUAGGAAAUUAAAAAAAAAGAAGAGGAUGUCUCGAUCAAAAAAAUAUUGGGGCAAUUUGUUUAAAAGAAUGAUUUUCUCAAAAGAAAAAAAAUGAUGAUGAUUUUUCUAAAAAGAAAAUAAAAAAUAAAACAAAAUCCUUCUUGAUUCAUUUUAGCAUAGGUACACAAUUUAGUAGUCUCACUUUUUCAACAUAGGGUCUCACUCCCUAGCUGAUGCCAGCAUAACCUGGUAAUCUUUUCCAACAUAGGGUCUCCACUCCCUAGUCGCUUUUCCAACAUAAGGUCUCCACUCCCUAGUUGAUUUUAUUUUAGACAUAGGGUCUUCACUCCCUAGUCGCUUUUUCAACAUAGGGUCUCUACUCCCUAGUUGAUUUUAUUUUAGAUAUAGGGUCUUCACUCCCUAUUCGCUUUUCCAACAUAGGGUCUCUACUCCCUAGUUGUUUUGUUUUAGACAUAGGGUUUCCACUCCCUAGUCGCUUUUCCAACAUAGGGUAUCCACUCCCUAGUUGAUUUUAUUUUAGACAUAGGGUCUCCACUCCCUAAUCAUUUUUCCAACAUAGGGUCUCCAUUCCCUAGUUGAAUUUAUUUUAGACAUAGGGUUUCCACUUCCUAGUCACUUUUCCAACAUAGGGUCUCCACUUCAUAGUUGAUUUCAUUUUAGAUAUAGGGUCUCCACUCCCUAAUCUCUUUUUCCCAAGGAUACAUAAUCCUGACUUUUAUUGCUUUCAAUAAAGAAGUUAGUUUCAAAUUUUGUUACAAUAACUCACAAAAUUUUUAUAGUGAAAACUGGGGCAGAAAAUUUCGUUCGUUUGUUUGUUUUGGUGUCUGAGCAAGUUUUACCUCGAGGCACAGGGUUCGAGACGCCCAAAAGAAUGAGUCUCAAUCCAGAAUAAAGAAAAAGAAGAAAAAGAAAAAGAGGUGAACUCAAAGUGUAGAAGCGGAGAAAGAUACAGACUGCUCAAAAUAUGAUUGAAUUCACAAGCUUUGCAUGUCCCGCCUUUAUCCAAAAACCUAAAGAAGAAAGAACCAGCACCUGCAGCUAACAAGCAUCAAGAUUCAGAUCAGAGUCCGCAUGAAGAACCAACUGAGACUCAAUAUCAAGCUUCAGAAGAUUCAUAGAUAGGAAUCUUGUAACUCGUAGUUGAUAGGCUUAGUUAGUCUUUUUAAUUUUGAUUUUGAUGUAAUAACGGGACUGCGGACCGGAACCUCGAUGGAACAACACCUCAAUCGACUCUCCACCUCAGUACUCCAUCACUCUUCCUAAUUCUGAACUACACAUGACCUGAUUCCUUUAUAGCCAAGGAUAUGUAGACAGCUCAGAUACCAGGGCUCGGUCACAUUCUUCUUUUUUUUAGCUUUCGGUUUCCUUAAAUAAGGGUCGGGUCAAAAAACCUGUCUAAUCAUUCUUUAUCUGAAAACUCUUCGCGUUUUCAGUCAAAGAGGGGCAGCUGUAGACAUGUGAUUUUUGACCCUCCCCAAGAUUUUUCAUAUUUUAGCACGUAAAUAUUUAAUUUAGGCUUAAAAUAGCUAUUUCAACUAAAUUUUACUCUGUUACUUUAUUUUAAUAACAAGAAAAUGAAAAUUAAAAAAAAUAGUUUCAUUAAUUGUAAUCAUUUUUAAUCUUGAAAAAUACCAAAAAUAGUUUUGUUUUAAAGGUCAAUAUUAUUUUAACAGUUAUUUUAGUUAAGUAGGACUAAUUAAUUAAUGAGAUCGUAUUUUAAUCUCGUUCGCAAGGAAAGAAUAAAACUUGGGCUCGAGCAACCCAUUUUAGGCCUAAUUUUUGGACCUAGCCCAUCAUUUCUAGUCUCAUACUCAUAACCUAAUUCCUACCCCCUAUAAAAUAACACUAACACCCUAGACUCUACACACAACCCAAUCCGCCACUUCUCUGAAAAGAUGGAAGAAAAGAAAAAAAUAAAAAAUGAAAGACCUAUCUUCACACAAAUGACAAUCAGCGAAAAAAAGGAAACAAAAAAGAACGAAAUCCAAGGGAAAAGAUGAAGGGGCAGCGCCAUUUUCUUAAAACAUUUCGUCAGCUGCAAUUCCAAACAAAGAGAAGCCUUCAGCCGUUUUUUCAACCAAACACAAUAGACCCCCCAUUUUCCAAAAGCUUCAGCCGAUUACAAAAUUGCAAAAUCUCAAAGCUUCAUUCUCGAAAUUUACGGAAGCCCACGCACACAAACAUAACAAAAAAAAGACGAGAAAAGCAGGUGGCGAAACAGAAACGGAAAAUACAAAGACGAUAUGAAUUGACAAUGAGAGACAACACUUUGGAAAAGAGGAUUCCAUUGAUUUUCUCAUUAUUAAAACCAUUAUAACAAAGAGCCUCCAAGGCUUUUCAUAAAGUGAGAAAUCAAUUUGAGGAUGAGCAACAAAAAAAUAUGAUUUGGUUGAGAGAUCCGAUUUUUGAAAAAUCUGGUAGUCGAGUUCCUAUUCGAGGCUGUAGGUUCGUUGGUUCCAUCGAUUGUUCGCGGUUUCUAUCACAGAUUUGGAGUAUUUUCAGUCGAGUUAGCGGCAUCAGAUUCAUUUGUAACUGUUGGAUUUUCUCUUGUUUAAUAAAGAAGUCUCGCACCAGAGGUUCCACUCUUAUCCUUCUCUUAUUUCAAGUAUAACUCCAUGUGUUGUUAUGUGAUAUUAAACAUGAUAUUGACC
rnacentral:lncRNA from 1 species